GCUGAGAGACUGGGAGGGAGGGCUGAGAGACUGGGAGGGAGGGCUGAGAGACUGGGAGGGAGGGUUGAGAGACAGGGAGGGAGGGUUGAGAGACAGGGAGGGAGGGUUGAGAGACAGGGAGGGAGGGUUGAGAGACAGGGAGGGAGGGUUGAGAGGGCUAAGUACAUGUGUCUGUCUGUCUCUAGGAGAGAGGGCUAAGUACAUGUCUCUAUGAGAGAGGGCUAAUUGCCUUUCAAAGGCCUUGUAACUGUAGUUUGACUCUAAACCAUGUUAAAAAAAUACCAAUAAUUACUUUUUUCCUUGGAAAAAUCCCCCAUUUUGGAAUGUCCCAUGUCAUUUUCCUGACCUCUAGGAAGAUUUUAACCCAGUUAACCCCAAACUUCCCCAACUUUCCACCAUCAUCUCCAUCUCCCGUGCAGCCCGAACAGAGGGUCUAGAGGCCUAACAGAGGGUCUAGAGGCCUAACAGUGAUCCCCAAAUUUAUAAAGAGGGUGUGAACUGCCAGGAGAUGCUCCAGUCUGAGGAGGGUGGGUAACAAUGUUCACACAAUUAAGAACAGCAGAUCUCAAUGGUCACGACACACACAAACAAUCAAUUAAGGACAAUCAGUAGGUCAACUAAGGUCAAUCAGUAGGUCAACUAAGGUCAAUCAGUAGGUCAACUAAGGUCAAUCAGUAGGUCAAUUAAGGACAAUCAGUAGGUCAACUAAGGUCAAUCAGUAGGUCAACUAAGGUCAAUCAGUAGGUCAACUAAGGUCAAUCAGUAGGUCAACUAAGGUCAAUCAGUAGGUCAACUAAGGUCAAUCCGUAGCUCAACUAAGGACAAUCAGUAGGUCAACUAAGGUCAACUAAGUUCCAUCAUAAGUGAAAACAUGCAUCAGAUUUAUUGAAAAGUCUUGAAGCUGAAAUCCCCCCUUCUGUUACACAGGUUCAUUAUAGGAGGAUGCAACCUGUGUGGUAAAGACAGAGACUGCUCCCUCUGCUGGGUAGGGUUGUCCUGUCCUCCUGAAUCCUCACCAUUCUGGAAUUAAACCUCCCUCUUUCUUUGGACUGACAGGUCCAGUUGUAUUUCAGCUGUCUGUCACAGCCUGGUCAUUAUGAAUACAGGAUCAACAUGGCAGACUGAUUGACAGGUCCAGUUGUAUUUCAGCUGUCUGUCACAGCCUGGUCAUUAUGAAUACAGGAUCAACAUGGCAGACUGAUUGACAGGUCCAGUUGUAUUUCAGCUGUCUGUCACAGCCUGGUCAUUAUGAAUACAGGAUCAACAUGGCAGACUGAUUGACAGGUCCAGUUGUAUUUCAGCUGUCUGUCACAGCCUGGUCAUUAUGAAUACAGGAUCAACAUGGCAGACUGAUUGACAGGUCCAGUUGUAUUUCAGCUGUCUGUCACAGCCUGGUCAUUAUGAAUACAGGAUCAACAUGGCAGACUGAUUGACAGGUCCAGUUGUAUUUCAGCUGUCUGUCACAGCCUGGUCAUUAUGAAUACAGGAUCAACAUGGCAGACUGAUUGACAGGUCCAGUUGUUUGGCAGUUUCAGAUUAAGAUGUUCUCUGUUCCAGGAACAUUUUAGUCAUUUAGUAUAAUGUUCUUAUCCAGAGUGACUCACAGUCAGUGUAUUAAACUAAGCUAGGCUAGGCUACCACAGUCAGUGUAUUGAACUAAACUAGGCUACCACAGUCAGUGUAUUAAACUAAGCUAGGCUACCACAGUCAGUGUAUUAAACUAAGCUAGGCUACCACAUAUCACAGUCAGUGUAUUAAACUAAGCUAGGCUACCACAUAUCACAGUCAUUGUAUUAAACUAAGCUAGGCUACCACAGUCAGUGUAUUAAACUAAGCUAAGCUACCACAGUCAGUGUAUUGAACUAAGCUAGGCUACCACAUAUCACAGUCAGUGUAUUGAACUAAGCUAAGCUAGGCUACCACAGUCAGUGUAUUAAACUAAGCUAGGCUACCACAUACCAUAGUCAGUGUAUUAAACUAAGCUAGGCUAGUCUUCCACAUAUCACAGUCAUUGUAUUAAACUAAGCUAGGCUACCACAUAUCACAGUCAGUGUAUUAAACUAAGCUAGGCUACCACAUAUCAGUCAGUGUAUUAAACUAAGCUAGUCUACCACAUAUCACAGUCAGUGUAUUGAACUAAGCUAGGCUACCACAGUCAUUGUAUUAAACUAAGCUAGGCUACCACAUAUCAGUCAGUGUAUUGAACUAAACUAGGCUAUCAUAGUCAGUGUAUUAAACUAAGCUAGGCUAGUCUACCACAUAUCACAGUCAUUGUAAUUAAACUAAGCUAGGCUACCACAGUCAGUGUAUUGAACUAAGCUAGGCUAUCACAGUCAGUGUAUUAAACUAAGCUAGGCUACCACAUAUCACAGUCAUUGUAUUAAACUAAGCUAGGCUACCACAUAUCACAGUCAUUGUAUUAAACUAAGCUAGGCUAGGCUACCACAGUCAUUGUAUUAAACUAAGCUAGGCUAUCACAGUCAGUGUAUUAAACUAAGCUAGGCUACCACAUAUCACAGUCAUUGUAUUAAACUAAGCUAGGCUAGGCUACCACAGUCAUUGUAUUAAACUAAGCUAGGCUACCACAGUCAUUGUAUUAAACUAAGCUAGGCUACCACAGUCAUUGUAAACUAAGCUAAGCUAGGCUACCACAGUCAUUGUAUUAAACUAAGCUAGGCUACCACAGUCAUUGUAAACUAAACUAGGCUACCACAGUCAUUGUAAACUAAGCUAAGCUACCACAGUCAUUGUAUUAAACUAAGCUAGGCUACCACAGUCAUUGUAUUAAACUAAGCUAGGCUACCACAGUCAUUGUAUUAAACUAAGCUAGGCUACCACAGUCAGUGUAUUAAACUAAGCUAGGCUACCACAGUCAUUGUCUUAAACUAAGCUAGUCUACCACAGUCAGUGUAUUGAACUAAGCUAAGCUACCACAGUCAUUGUAAACUAAGCUAAGCUAGGCUACCACAGUCAUUGUAAACUAAGCUAGGCUGAGUUGCAGCUAAGACAUGGUCAGUUCCAGGAGGUGGUGCUCGGCCUGUUUUUAGUUGAUACAUUAGUCAUGUAAAACCUGCCAAGGGCUGUGAAAUGGGCUGUUGUUAUGAUAUAGGUCAAACCAGACAAACAUCCCCAACUCACUACAUAGAAAACAACUUCCUGCUUAACCGCUGUAUCCAGGCAACAGAGCCUAGUGAAAAAUACAUUAGUCCCAAGACUUAAAAAAGAAAAAAAAGAAAAGCCCUUUCAAAAAGCCCUCUAUCAUGAAUGCCAGGGGUACUCCGUACAACUUAAACGGUCCACUUCUCCAGUCCUACUUAGUGUUCAUUCUCCCUGGUACUUUGAUCAUAUAUAUUGAUUGGCUGGGAAGUGCAUUCACUUGGGGUAGUAUUCAUUAGUGUACACCAUAGGGAAAAACAGUUCUUAUUGGACAAAUUUUGGUAGAUCCCUGCCGUUUGGUUCCUAGUGAAUACGAGACCCAGGCUCCACGCUCAGUAGGCUUAAAAGUAUUGGAAACAUUUCAGAUAAAAAUUUAAAAAAAAAAAACAUUUAAAAAAUAAGUGUAAUAAUUCCUUAUUCUAACAUGUUU